CUGUACGCUGGAGUCAACGUCGCAAAUCGAUGUUUCCCCCGAUUUUCGUCAUGUAACAGCGUUGCCAAACGAACUUCAAAUUCAUUCAGUAAAAUGCUGACUUUGACUGAUGUUAUUUGACCCCUGAAAAUUGGGAAUCAGCCAAAGCAGUCCUGUAUGGCGGUCGUGUGGAAAGGAUGCAACCGUGUGGGAUGGCCGUCACUACAAGCAGUCACUUCUUGAGACACCAAAUCCUGUCACACAAGGCCAAUGGAUGGUUGGUGCAUUUUCACUGAGUUUGAAUGUGGUAAGAUUCUUAGGAAUCUAGUGCCAGAGAUGAAGCGGAAGCCACAACGAAGCCGGGGUUU